AUACGGAGGGUGCAAACGUUGUUCGGAAUUACUGGGCGUAAAGCGCGCGUAGGCGGCUUGUUAAGUCAGAUGUGAAAGUCCACAGCUCAACUGUGGAAGUGCAUUUGAAACUGGCAGGCUUGAGUACUGGAGGGGAUGGUGGAAUUCCCGGUGUAGAGGUGAAAUUCGUAGAUAUCGGGAGGAAUACUGGUGGCGAAGGCGACCAUCUGGCCAGAUUCUGACGCUGAGGUGCGAAAGCGUGGGGAGCAAACAGGAUUAGAAACCCGGGUAGUCC
rnacentral:rRNA from 1 species